CAAGGAUGUUCAUGCAGAAGGAAGCUACAAAGGAGUAUGCUUUAUCAUUCCAGGAAUCUCAAAGGUAAUAGGGAGCCACUGGAGUUUUUUGAGUGGGAAGUGGGCGUGACGUGGAUGGAUCUGAACUUCAGAAAAAUAAAUUUGGUGGCUGAAUGAAGAAUGCUCAGUCCCAGAGUGAGAAGUCCCAAAAUGAGUGGAUACAUCAAAGUCCAGUGGCAAGACAAAAGUCAGGAC